GGUUAUGGCCCUACCACCGCAAAUGUGACUGAUCUCAUCUGUUCUCAGAAACUAAGCAGUGUCAGACCUACUUGGAUUGCAGAACUGGGGCCUAAAAUUG
rnacentral:rRNA from 1 species